AGAAAAAAAACACCCGCGCCGCCCUGCCUCCAAAUCCUAUCUCCACCUCCAGCGCGCCGCCGCCUCCUACCACGGCACGCCUCGCCUCCCUCCUCUCGCUCGCUCCCUCAUCCCGCACCUCCACCUCGUCCUCGUUGACCCGCGCCACCAGAGCCCAGCAGGUCGACGACCGCUCCUUCCUCGCCUCCGCGUCCGCCCCCGCUCAAGCAUCUCCACCGGAGCGCGCCCGUCCUGGAGCUCGUCCGCCUCCCUAAGUUGCCGCCCUAGCCUCGGUUCUGGCGGGUUCCGUGCGCCCUCGCCCGGCCAAGUCCCCGCCGCCAAGAUCCUGCUUUCACCGCGUCGCUCCGCCCUGCAUCGACUCGCUGCCGCCUCGUCUCCCCGUCAUCAUGGCCCGACGCCCACGCCUCUGCUGCUUCGUCGCCAGCCUCCAGCGCCUCCGCCGGCCUGGUUCGCCUCGCCGCUGCUGCUCUGCAAGCCCGCCGCACUUCUGCUCCGCCCUGCGCCCCGACGCCCGAGUUGUUGCUCCCUUCGGCUGCCUCCCAUGGCGCUGCUGCCAUCCACGGCUGCUCUGUUGCCGUCGCCUUGCUGCCCGUGCCCCUCCUCUCGUGCUGGCCUCCUUAAGGCUCCGACCGGCUACGUCCAUUGCACCACCUUGGCCAUGGUUUGCCGCUGCCUAGACCACCUUCAGCCGGGUGCCCCGCCUCGCGACUCACCGGCGACGGCACGCAGGCUCUCCCGCCAAUCAUCACUGGCGGCGACGGUCGACACGGAGGGAGGACGACGGCAUGCAAAGACGCCUCGGGGGAGAGAAGGCAGGUUGCCGGAGCACCAAAACAACGUGGCCGUGGUUGUCUGUUUGUUCACUUGCAAUUCAGUAAUGUUCUUUUUCGUUCAAAGAAUUAUUAUUCUGUUGCAAUGAAGUUCUGGUUUAUAUCUUGCGUGCAGUUCAGCUGGGUGAUUCUGUGCACUGAAUUUUCCAGUUAGUACAUCGGAUGUAAUGUACUCCUAGAGAUAGGAAUUAGUUUCAAGCACUAUGAUUUUACAUCGAGAUGAUGUUUCUUUGUAACAGAGACGAUGAACAACAUGGGAAUGAUGGGGAUGCGGCCUAUAGAUGGUUGCUAUGGAUCUGGAGGUUGAUACUGAACAUGAGUUUACUACAGAUCUGGAGUAGUAAUAUUGGAUUACAGGUCACAUGUUAGAAGUUAACUGCAGAAUAUUGAGCACGGGUUAGUAGUUCAUUACUGAAUAGACAUUCAGUAAUUAACUGCAGAGCAUUUGGUCUUUGGGGUACAUGUGAAACAGAACAUCAGAUUUUAAUCCACAUGCUCUGUUUUUUCCUUCAUAAGUACAUACUCUGUACAUCAUAUAGUUCUGUGUUGUCUUGAAGUUCUCUCCUGCAAAUUUAAUAAUGUGCCCAAGAAAUUCGUGCUUAGUAACCAGGAUUGCAAAAAACUUUCAAAACUGUAAUCGUAUGGUUCCCUUCCAUUGACAUUGUAAUUGGUAUGUGCCAGUCUGUAUGGUGUAUAGAUUGGAGUGGAGUUAGGGGGAACCAGUGCAUAAUUUUAAGUUGCAGCUUGCUAAUUGUACUAAUUUGUCGGUGUGUGUGCCGCGUUUUCCUGAAACAUGCAAAAAAAUGGACAACUUUUCCAGAGUAUGAAGGUGGUUAGCUAGCACCAUUUGGAACAAGUACAUCAAAUCUUGGAUCUGAAGUGUCCAAUUUGCAACUUUAAAAAUUGUUUCAGAAAAUACGCAAGGUUUGGCAAUAAUUUAGUAAGCAAUUUUCAUGACUGAUGGGCUGGCACUGGAAUUGUCUGAUUGCCGAGUGUGACCCCUGUCAUGAAGGCCUCUACACUAAACUUAAUAAAAAUAUAUUUAUCUUGUAUUGAAAAAUAUAAGAAAAGGGCACACUGAGAGUUGUCUCAAGGUGUACAUUAGUGGUUGGAUGUACUUAAUUUUUAUCAAGGAAGAAUAGCUACUAUACAACAGAAAAAAUAUAAGAAAAGGUAAACUAAUAUCAUGGUGAAGGCAGAGAGGUAAUGCAUUGUUCAUGGUAUUGUAUGCACGAGCAUUGGUUAAAUAAUUUUUGGUGUUCUAACUCUCUGAGAUAAUUUACAUCUCUAUUUGUGCUAAUUGGCAAGGUGCAUGAACAAUUAUUUACCUAUGGUUUUUGCUUAAUGGAAAAGCCUUUUUUAGUUUUAAAAACCUAUUAAAUUUGAUCAACAGAAUAAGACUCUUUUUUGUUAAUCUUGGUAAGAACAGUGCCAUAUGGUUCCACUCUACAUCUUUGUACUUAAUUAGCCGAAGGUGCGCAUUAGUGCUUGAGACCAGUGCUAUAUAGUUCCACUCUAUAUCUCUGUACUUAAUUGGCUGAAGGUGUGCAUUAGUGCUUGAGAUCAGUGCUAUAUAGUUCCACUCUACGUCUCCUUAAUUGGCUGAAGAUGUGCAUUAGUGCUUGAGACCAAUGCUAUAUGGUUCCACUCUACAUGUCUGAAUGUGUACAUUAGUUGUUGGCUGUGUUAAUAUAAAUAGUAAGUUUUCAUAUUAUAUCAGCUAGAAGAGCUUCACAGAAAUUUGGUACAGGAGUUGCAACUGUCUUGAUCAAGUGCUUUUAUUAUAUUAUUCUUUCUUGGUUAAACUUUGUAAGAAUCUUGCUCAUGUUCAGUGGUAUCACGUACUAAAGAUCUUACUAUUUUUUUAAUUAACUAAGAUCUUGACUAUUUUGGUGUCAAGAUCCAAUAGCCUUGCUGUUAGUUAAUGCUCUAUUUAUAUUUUCUUCUAACAAAACAAAUGUAUGUUUCCAGCAAUAAAACUCGUAGGUUCCAGCAAAAAUAAUGACUCGCCGUAGCUGGGUCGCAGCAAAAAGUUUGGCCGGUCCCAGCAAAAAAAUCGCUGUCGCGGUCACAGGAGCAGUUUUGGAGGUUUGAUGGUGUGCUUGAGCGAGGAUACCACACUACUUGUCUUGGAUGGCCGGAACAUAUUGCUGGCCAUCUCACACUCAGGUUGCAGCAAUUGGAUGUGCCCUGUGAAACCUGCAGCAUACGGGCAUUGGAAGCGGCGGUAUGGCAGUCUGAAUCCUGACGUUCUUGGGAGUGCAGGUUGGGCGUUUGUCGGAAAUAGGGGAGACCCAUAGCUCCUUAAAAAAAGGAGAAGAAGGGCUAUCUCGCUUGUCUGAAAUCAACAGGAGCUCAGUCUGGAAAAUGCUGGAUAUUCUAGAAGAAAUACUUGCGAUGUAGGAUAGCCAUUGUUUGCAUGCUUCCUCCAUGUGGUGCAUUUGGUUCCUAAGCCAUCCUCUCAAGCUCCCACUUGCACAGUUGUGAUCCCUGGGUUUGGGAAGCCAGGUUUGCAGAAGAAAUCGAGGGGCUCAGGUCUGCAAUCAAGGGAGUCUGCAUGGUGGUCUCUGUUAUUUGAAGGAAAUGUGCUCGGGAAUGAGCCAUUGGCUAAAUUGCUUGGUGAUCUCAAGGAUGUGCUCUAUGAUGUGGGCGUCGUGGUAGAUGACAAGCUCUGGCCACUACAGGCUCCAACAAGGUAGAAUUAAUUUAGUUGUCGUUUUAUAUUGCAAAACACGGUGAAAUUAUAAUUUAUCCGAGUUUCUUUGUUUAGGUGGUGCUGUAGAAAUAGCCAAUGCCAAUGUUACUGUGAAAUUUUUUGUUCAGUUCGUACGAGUCCUGAUUUGCUUCCCAUGCAAAAAAAAAAAAAGAAGAAACUGUUUGGCUUGUCGGGUCUGUGAGUUGUACUGCACCGAACAUGCAACUUUUGGCAUGGUUUGGUUUCAAAACUUAAAGAAGCUAGGGAGUUUCACUAUCCCAUUAUUUUGUGCAACUAUUUGGCAUCGAUUUGAUGUUGAUAUACCGCCAACAAGUAGCGGUCGUGGCAAGAGGCAACACUCUUAAGACAUGUGACCAUUUUUGUAAUCAUAAGAGAUGGUAAUGGAAACCUUGUGGAGGUAGAAUGCAAA